rnacentral:rRNA from 1 species
UGGGGAAUCUUGCACAAUGGGCGAAAGCCUGAUGCAGCGACGCCGCGUGAGCGAUGAAGGCCUUCGGGUUGUAAAGCUCUGUGGGGAGGGACGAAUACGCGUUGGCUAAUAUCCAACGUGAUGACGGUACCUCCUUAGCAAGCACCGGCUAACUCUGUGCCAGCAGCCGCGGUAAGACAGAGGGUGCAAACGUUGUUCGGAAUUACUGGGCGUAAAGCGCGUGUAGGCGGCUAUAUAAGUCGGACGUGAAAUCCCACGGCUCAACCGUGGAAGUGCGCUCGAAACUGUGUAGCUUGAGUCCUGGAGAGGAAGACGGAAUACUUGGUGUAGAGGUGAAAUUCGUAGAUAUCAGGUAGAACACCAGUGGCGAAGGCGGUCUUCUGGACAGUGACUGACGCUGAGACGCGAAAGCGUGGGGAGCAAACAGG